rnacentral:rRNA from 1 species
CCUACGGGCGGCUGCAGUGGGGAAUAUUGCACAAUGGGGGAAACCCUGAUGCAGCAACGCCGCGUGAAGGAAGACGGUUCUACGGUUGUUAACUUCCGUUCUUAGUGGAGCAUAGUGACGGUAGCUUAGGAGCAAGCCACGGCUAACUACGUGCCAGCAGCCGCGGUAAUACGUAGGUGGCAAGCGUUGUCCGGAAUUACUGGGUGUAAAGGGAGCGCUGGCGGGAAGGCAAGUCAGCUGUGAAAGCUACGGGCUUAACUUGUAGACUGCAGUUGAAACUGGUGUUCUUGAGUGAAGUAGAGGUAGGCGGAAUUCCGGGUGUAGCGGUGAAAUGCGUAGAUAUUCGGAGGAACACCGGUGGCGAAGGCAGCCAACUGGGCCUUAACUGACGCUGAGGCUCGAAAGUGUGGGGAGCAAACAGGAUUAGAUACCCGGGUAGUC